UACGAUGAUGAAUUUCCACAACACUUAAUAAGCUAGAUAGUAUCUGAAAUUUAUUAAUGAUUGGAGUGUUAACUUGAAAAUCCUGACG
rnacentral:snoRNA from 1 species